CUCUGUUUUCAGAAACAGCCCAGCAGAAUCCUACCAUCAGACAGGGCUAGGAAACCGAGCUCAGUCUAGGGCAGUAGUUCCCAAACUCGUCUGUGCUUCAAAAAAUACAGGUGCUGAUGGCCAGGCGUGGUGGCUCACGCCUGUGAUCCCAGCAAUUUGGAAGGCUGAGGCAGGAGGAUCACUUGAGCCCAGCUGUCUGCAACUAUACCACAGGCUCCAUGAGACCUGUGAUUUUUGUCUUUUUGGCUCACUGCUGUAUUCUUAGUGCAUGAAGCCACACCCAACACAUGGCAGGUGCUUAAUAACCUCUCAUCUUCACAGACAGCACCCGCAGGCUCUCCCCAUUCUUCUUCGAAAUUUCCCUUCUCUGGGAUCCUCAGAUUAUUUCCUUCUGCCUAGAGUCUUUGGACUUUUCUCAGAGGUUGUGGGAAAGAUGCUUUCUCCUAAGCCGGUAUUGAGGGCUGUGUGUAGUACCCAGGCUUGAGACCGUGAACUGCCGUCUUGUGUCCACCUGGAUAAAGCUUGUCUGAUAAUAAAGCAAAGUUGAGCUGAGGGAUAAAGAGAGAGACAUACAUAGUAAAAGCUUGCUCCAUUUUUUAGUAGCUGUGCAUAUUCUGCUUUAUGGCUAUACCAUAAAUUCAUUUAGCCGAACUCCCAUCAUGGACACUUCGGUUGUUUUGGUUGUUUGCUUUUCUAAACGAUGCUGCAAUAAAAUUUCCUCAUGUACCAUUUGGGCUCACUCAUGCAGUUGUAUCUCGAGGAUCAGUCCCCAGAAGUGAGAUUGCUGGGCAGAGGGUCCGUG
rnacentral:lncRNA from 1 species